CAAUAGCGUAUAUUAAAGUUGUUGCAGUUAAAAAGCUCGUAGUUGGAUUUCGGGGCAGCCUGGCUGGUCCGCCGCAAGGCGAGUACUGGUCAGCCGCCCUUCCUCUCGAAAGCCCCGACUGCUCUUUAUUGCAGUGGUCGGGUAGUUCGAGACGUUUACUUUGAAAAAAUUAGAGUGUUCAAGGCAGGCCUACGCCUGAAUACAUUAGCAUGGAAUAAUGGAAGAGGACCUCGGUCCUAUUUUGUUGGUUUCCAGGACCGAAGUAAUGAUUAAGAGGGACAGUUGGGGGCAUUCGUAUUUAAUUGUCAGAGGUGAAAUUCUCGGAUUUAUGAAAGACGAACAACUGCGAAAGCAUUUGCCAAGGAUGUUUUCAUUAA
rnacentral:rRNA from 1 species